UUAGGUUAAGUUAUGAAGGGCGCAUGGUGAAUGCCUUGGUACUAGGAGCCGAUGAAGGACGGGACUAACACCGAUAUGCUUCGGGGAGCGGUAAGUACGCUUUGAUCCGGAGAUUUCCGAAUGGGGCAACCCAAUCAGCUUAGUCGCUGAUUACUUGACUAGUGAAUACAUAGCUAGCAAGAGGUAGACGCAGUGAACUGAAACAUCUUAGUAGCUGCAGGAAGAGAAAGAAACAUCGAUUCCCUGAGUAGCGGCGAGCGAAAAGGGAAGAGCCCAAACCAACAAGCUUGCUUGUUGGGGUUGUAGGACUGAACAUUAGAGUUACCAAAGUGCGACGUAGUCGCAACAGUUGGGAAGCUGUGCCAUAGAGGGUGAAAGCCCCGUAGACGAAACGUCACACUCUCUGUUCAGGAUCCUGAGUACGGCGGGACACGUGAAACCCCGUCGGAACCCGCGAGGACCAUCUCGCAAGGCUAAAUACUCCCUAGUGACCGAUAGUGAACCAGUACCGUGAGGGAAAGGUGAAAAGCACCCCGGAAGGGGAGUGAAAUAGUUCCUGAAACCAUGUGCCUACAAGCUGUCG
rnacentral:rRNA from 1 species